rnacentral:rRNA from 1 species
CUUGCUUCUCUUGAGAGCGGCGGACGGGUGAGUAAUGCCUAGGAAUCUGCCUGGUAGUGGGGGAUAACGUUCGGAAACGGACGCUAAUACCGCAUACGUCCUACGGGAGAAAGCAGGGGACCUUCGGGCCUUGCGCUAUCAGAUGAGCCUAGGUCGGAUUAGCUAGUUGGUGGGGUAAUGGCUCACCAAGGCGACGAUCCGUAACUGGUCUGAGAGGAUGAUCAGUCACACUGGAACUGAGACACGGUCCAGACUCCUACGGGAGGCAGCAGUGGGGAAUAUUGGACAAUGGGCGAAAGCCUGAUCCAGCCAUGCCGCGUGUGUGAAGAAGGUCUUCGGAUUGUAAAGCACUUUAAGUUGGGAGGAAGGGUUGUAGAUUAAUACUCUGCAAUUUUGACGUUACCGACAGAAUAAGCACCGGCUAACUCUGUGCCAGCAGCCGCGGUAAUACAGAGGGUGCAAGCGUUAAUCGGAAUUACUGGGCGUAAAGCGCGCGUAGGUGGUUUGUUAAGUUGGAUGUGAAAUCCCCGGGCUCAACCUGGGAACUGCAUUCAAAACUGACUGACUAGAGUAUGGUAGAGGGUGGUGGAUCGUUCCUGUGUAGCGGUGAAAUGCGUAGAUAUAGGAAGGAACACCAGUGGCGAAGGCGACCACCUGGACUAAUACUGACACUG